AGAGUUUGAUCCUGGCUCAGAUUGAACGCUGGCGGCAGGCCUAACACAUGCAAGUCGAACGGUAACAGGAAGCAGCUUGCUGCUUUGCUGACGAGUGGCGGACGGGUGAGUAAUGUCUGGGAAACUGCCUGAUGGAGGGGGAUAACUACUGGAAACGGUAGCUAAUACCGCAUAACGUCGCAAGACCAAAGAGGGGGACCUUAGGGCCUCUUGCCAUCGGAUGUGCCCAGAUGGGAUUAGCUAGUAGGUGGGGUAACGGCUCACCUAGGCGAUGAUCCCUAGCUGGUCUGAGAGGAUGACCAGCCACACUGGAACUGAGACACGGUCCAGACUCCUACGGGAGGCAGCAGUGGGGAAUAUUGCACAAUGGGCGCAAGCCUGAU
rnacentral:rRNA from 1 species